rnacentral:rRNA from 1 species
GUGUGUUGCAUAAUACCAUAAAGAGAUUUAAUUAGGGGUGAUAGGCCUCCCAAGAGCUAAGAUAUCUUGAUAGUCCUGAAAUGUAUUUAGUACAUAAGUCAGAUAUAAAGUGGUCAGGCUUUAUAAAAUCUUCAAACCUAUUGUUUAGAGAUUAUGGUUUAAACGCCAUUUAUUUUCAGACUUUAAUAUAUAUCUUUAGGUGUUUAAGAUGAAUAGGGACCACUAACAAAACAGUAGCUAUUAGUUAUAAUGUUAUUAUAAGUAUUAUACCAGACGGCCAUCAUGAACUCGGCAAUUUUUACCCUCAACUGUUUACCAAAAACAUAGCUAUAUGUUGACACAUAUAUAGUUUUUUCUGCUCAAUGUAAUAUAAAUAGCCGCAGUACCCUGACUGUGCAAAGGUAGCAUAAUCAGUUGGCUUAUAAUUGAAGUCUAGUAUGAAGGAAGGCAUGGGGGUGAGCUAUAUAAUAGCCGUGGUUAGAAAUUACUUACUAAGUGAAAAUACUUACCAAAAAAUAAUAGACGAGAAGACCCUAGAAAUUUUGAGGAGAGCGUUAAGGUUUUUUGGUUUUUGUUGGGGCGACACAGUAGCACUUAACCUACUAAGAAUAAUGAGAUUAUUGUCUUAUGAUUAAUUAAAUUACUCUAGGGAUAACAGCAUAAUAUUGAAAAGUUUGUGACCUCGAUGUUGGACUAGGAUACUAUAACCCAGAAGGUUAUUAUUAAAGCUCUGUUCGAGCUAUUGACUCCUACAUGAUCUGAGUUCAGACCGGCGUAAGCCAGGUCAGUUUCU